AAACUCUUCCUCUAUAUGUAUCCUUGCAGGCAGUUAUGUUAGAUUUAGGAUCCCGCCAACAGCCACCGUUCCUUUCUAGGCACUGGUUUGUUUCAAGAUCUCCACUUAAACAUAUCGAAGGUUCAGUUGUUUCCUUAAAACCAGCACAUAUGGCUUUUAAAACAGCAGUCCUCUCCAAUUUCCCUCGAUAUUGAAUAUCAUUGAUGACCAUUGUUG
rnacentral:misc_RNA from 1 species